AAAAAAAAAAAAACAAAACACAUGACUAAAGAGAUAAAGGAAGGAAACAUGAAGAUAUAUGCUUAAUCCAUAGCUUCAGCUCAGCGGCACCGCGACAUUACCUUAACUCUCUCCUCCACUGUCGAAUUCCUUCCUUCAAAAACUUCUCUGUUUCGAGCUUUCCAGAGUUCCCAGCAAACGACCACAAUUCGAGCAAGCUCAGCGACUCCACCCUGGUUACUGGUGGUGACCCGUAGCAACUACGAUGCGAAAUCAGGAGACCCAUUUUGAGCAACAGUCCCAGCCGUGAAGAGGGAGUUCCAGACCGCUACAGUAGGGCCACAACGAUGGAGACAGUGAAUGAUUGUUUCAUUUUCCAGUUUGCAUCUUGGGCAUAGGGACGAGGUGUAAACUUGUAGUGGAUAAGAUUUAAUCCAGAUCCACCGAAGCUUUUCAACACCACCAGCAUUCAGCGAGUGGAGACUGGAGAGGAUACGAGUUGCUGUCUCCAGAAAACUUAAGAAGACCAUCCAUAAAGUGGUCAUCCAUGAAGUGGUCAAACGAAAUAUAUAUGUAAACGGUUUCUCUGUUAACAUGAUACAUAACAGAUUACAGCAGCGUUAUUCGAUUCAUGUAGCCAAUCCCACUUAGUGAGACAAAUGUUGUUGUAUAUUUAAUAUUAAAUAUUGCUAUCGUGUUUCAUAAUA